CAGUUAUCGUUUAUUUGAUAGUACCUUACUACUUGGAUAACCGUGGUAAUUCUAGAGCUAAUACAUGCUAAAAACCCCAACUUCGGAAGGGGUGUAUUUAUUAGAUAAAAAACCAAUGCCCUUCGGGGCUUCUUGGUGAUUCAUAAUAACUUAACGAAUCGCAUGGCCUUGCGCCGGCGAUGGUUCAUUCAAAUUUCUGCCCUAUCAACUUUCGAUGGUAGGAUAGUGGCCUACCAUGGUAUCAACGGGUAACGGGGAAUUAGGGUUCUAUUCCGGAGAGGGAGCCUGAGAAACGGCUACCACAUCCAAGGAAGGCAGCAGGCGCGCAAAUUACCCAAUCCCGACGCGGGGAGGUAGUGACAAUAAAUACUGAUACAGGGCUCUUUUGGGUCUUGUAAUUGGAAUGAGUACAAUUUAAAUCCCUUAACGAGGAACAAUUGGAGGGCAAGUCUGGUGAACACUCAGCUAGUUCCACACCUGCUGACGCCAGAGAUAGUAGGGCCUCGCCAGCUUUGUACGGGCGAGGUUAUGCCUGCUAGUCGAGCAUCCACGAACAGCGAUGGGUGGAUGCCGGCGAGGUGACCUGGUACGGGGAAGCCUAAGGGUGCGACUGUUUAGGGAUGGUCGAGAACACCUAUGGUAAUCCCGUGGCGAGCCGGAGCGAUCCGGCCGUCGUAACGCGCGGAAAGGCACCGGCCGUCGCACACCAAGCGGCGGCUCAAGGGACGUGCUGUCCCAUCCGAAAGGAUGCCUCAGACUGGAGCACCCAUCGUGUAAAGGUCUGGGGGGGAGGGGAGGCGAGCCAUCGCCGACCGCCCGGGUAAUGAUAAAACGGCCAGCAGCCGCGGUAAUUCCAGCUCCAAUAGCGUAUAUUAAAGUUGUUGCAGUUAAAAAGCUCGUAGUUGAACCUUGGGUCUGGCUGACCGGUCCGCCUCACCGCGUGCACUGGUUCGGCCGGACCUUUCCUUCUGGGGAUCCGCAUGCCCUUCACUGGGCGUGUCGGGGAACCAGGACUUUUACUUUGAAAAAAUUAGAGUGUUCAAAGCAGGCCUUUGCUCGAAUACAUUAGCAUGGAAUAAUAGAAUAGGACGUGCGGUUCUAUUUUGUUGGUUUCUAGGACCGCCGUAAUGAUUAAUAGGGAUAGUCGGGGGUAUCAGUAUUCAAUUGUCAGAGGUGAAAUUCUUGGAUUUAUUGAAGACUAACUACUGCGAAAGCAUUUACCAAGGAUGUUUUCAUUAAUCAG
rnacentral:rRNA from 1 species